rnacentral:rRNA from 1 species
UACAGAGGUCCCAAGCGUUGUUCGGAUUCACUGGGCGUAAAGGGUGCGUAGGUGGUGGGGUAAGUCGGAUGUGAAAUCUCCGAGCUCAACUCGGAAACUGCAUUGGAAACUACCCUGCUAGAGGGUCGGAGGGGGGACUGGAAUACUUGGUGUAGCAGUGAAAUGCGUAGAUAUCAAGUGGAACACCAGUGGCGAAGGCGAGUCCCUGGACAACUCCUGACACUGAGGCACGAAAGCUAGGGGAGCAAACAGG